UAGCCGUAAACGAUACUCGCUAGGUGUCGGCCACGGUGCGACCGUUGUCGGUGCCGUAGGGAAGCCGUGAAGCGAGCCACCUGGGAAGUACGGCCGCAAGGCUGAAACUUAAAGGAAUUGGCGGGGGAGCACAACAACGGGUGGAGCUUGCGGUUUAAUUGGAUUCAACGCCGGAAAUCUUACCGGGACCGACAGCAACAUGAAGGCCAGGCUGAAGACUUUGCCGGAUUAGCUGAGAGGAGGUGCAUGGCGUAGUCGU
rnacentral:rRNA from 1 species